rnacentral:rRNA from 1 species
AUUGAACGCUGGCGGCAUGCCAACACAUGCAAGUCGAACGAGUGGCGGACGGGUGAGUAAUGUAUGGGAACUUGCCCAGUGGAGGGGGAUAACUACUGGAAACGGUGCUAUACCGCAUACCAUCGGAUGGGCCCAGAUGGGAUUAGCUCGUAGGUGGGGUAACGGCUCACCAAGGCGACGAUCCGUAGCUGGUUUGAGAGGACGACCAGCCACACUGGGACUGAGACACGGCCCAGACUCCUACGGGAGGCAGCAGUGGGGAAUUUUGGACAAUGGGGGAAACCCUGAUCCAGCCAUCCCGCGUGGGUGAUGAAGGCUUCGGGUUGUAAAGCACUUUUGGCAGGAAAGCGGUACCUGCAGAAUAAGCACCGGCUAACUACGUGCCAGCAGCCGCGGUAAUAC